UACGUAGGGUGCAAGCGUUAUUCGGAAUUACUGGGCGUAAAGCGUGCGCAGGCGGUUAUGUAAGACAGUUGUGAAAUCCCCGGGCUCAACCUGGGAACUGCAUCUGUGACUGCAUCGCUGGAGUGCGGCAGAGGGGGAUGGAAUUCCGCGUGUAGCAGUGAAAUGCGUAGAUAUGCGGAGGAACACCGAUGGCGAAGGCAAUCCCCUGGGCCUGCACUGACGCUCAUGCACGAAAGCGUGGGGAGCAAACAGG
rnacentral:rRNA from 1 species